CCUACGGGACGCAGCAGUGGGGGAUAUUGCACAAUGGGGGGAACCCUGAUGCAGCGACGCCGCGUGGGUGAAGAAGCGCCUCGGCGCGUAAAGCCCUGUCAGCAGGGAAGAAAAUGACGGUACCUGAAGAAGAAGCCCCGGCUAACUACGUGCCAGCAGCCGCGGUAAUACGUAGGGGGCAAGCGUUAUCCGGAUUUACUGGGUGUAAAGGUGGCGCAGACGGCGAUGCAAGCCAGGAGUGAAAGCCCGGGGCCCAACCCCGGGACUGCUCUUGGAACCGCGUGGCUAGAGUGCAGGAGGGGCAG
rnacentral:rRNA from 1 species